AUGUAUUUUUUCCUGUGCUUUUAUUAGCUACAUGGGUCUGGCCCAACAAUUCAGCCUUAUUGAUUUCUUUGCGUGGCCCUUUUAACAGCAGAUUUUCUUUUUGAUCAUGUAUUUUUCUGGGCCAUUUCUUUGUUGGGCCUCCCAUGUUUUUCCCUCAAAAUAAUUGUCCAAUAUAACUUGGGCCUCGCCCAGUUCCGAAAAAAUUGAUCCAAUCCAAAAACAAUUAUUAUGCCAUUGACAUUACAACACAUCACACCACAAGAUAUCUUGGGCCUAGCCCAGUUCUGACACAUUUUCAAAGCAACAUACAAUGUUAUUAUUACAACCAUUCAUUCCAGCAAUACUAUUUGAGGCUGGCUGGCUGCCUGAGCUACUACUGACUGACUGCGGGCUAACUCUAAGUUUUUACAACAGGUGAAUCAGAAACCUAACGCUACCGCAUUUGCAUGGCGCUGCUGAAAUACUCCAGGAUCGUGAAAACUUCACAGCAACCAAACAUGUAAUCUGCUUAAUGGAAAUAUUUCUUCUCCAAGUCCCGCUUCUCCCUUAGCAAUGACAGGCUGAUGCAAAACAUCUGAGCAUUCAAAAGAGAACAAAAGAAUAUGGCUAUUCAUCAAAAUUGGGAAUUGAAUUGGCACAUAUGACAAACUUAGCAGCAAACGAGCAAGGUGCAUGAUUCAAAGUUACAACAGAUCGAAGUUCCAUUUGAGUAUAAGGAAUAAAAUUCAUAUUCAAUCAAUAGUACCUAUUAAACUACCAGGUGCAUGAUUGAAUUAAACAGACACU